rnacentral:siRNA from 1 species
UCUCACUGCUGUGGCCAAGUAGUC